UACGGAGGGAGCUAGCGUUAUUCGGAAUUACUGGGCGUAAAGCGCACGUAGGCGGCUUUGUAAGUAAGAGGUGAAAGCCCAGAGCUCAACUCUGGAAUUGCCUUUUAGACUGCAUCGCUUGAAUCAUGGAGAGGUCAGUGGAAUUCCGAGUGUAGAGGUGAAAUUCGUAGAUAUUCGGAAGAACACCAGUGGCGAAGGCGGCUGACUGGACAUGUAUUGACGCUGAGGUACGAAAGCGUGGGGAGCAAACAGG
rnacentral:rRNA from 1 species